rnacentral:tRNA from 1 species
GCUCCCGUAGCUUAACUCUCAAAGCAUUGUUCUUGUAAACCAAAGCCGGGCCCGGCCCCAGGAGCA